rnacentral:rRNA from 1 species
UACGGAGGGGGCAAGCGUUGUUCGGAAUUACUGGGCGUAAAGGGCGCGUAGGCGGCCUUGUAAGUCUCGUGUGAAAGCCCUCGGCUUAACUGAGGAUCUGCACGGGAUACUGUAGGGCUCGAGUUCGGGAGAGGAAAGCGGAAUUCCGGGUGUAGCGGUGAAAUGCGUAGAUAUCAGGAGGAACACCUGCGGUGUAGACGGCUUUCUGGACCAUUACUGACACUGAGACACGAAAGCGUGGGUAGCAAACAGG